rnacentral:rRNA from 1 species
AUUGAACGCUGGCGGCAGGCCUAACACAUGCAAGUCGAACGGUAACAGGAAGCAGCUUGCUGCUUUGCUGACGAGUGGCGGACGGGUGAGUAAUGUCUGGGAAACUGCCCGAUGGAGGGGGAUAACUACUGGAAACGGUAGCUAAUACCGCAUAACGUCGCAAGAACAAAGAGGGGGACCUUAGCGCCUCUUGCCAUAGGAUGUGCCCAGAUGGGUUUAGCUAGUAGGUGGGGUAACGGCUCACCUAGGCAACGAUACAUAGCUGGUCUGAGAGGAUGACCAGCUACACUGGAACUGAGACACGGACCAGAGGCCUACGGUAGGCAGGAGUGGAGAAGAAUGGAAUAUGGGCGCAAGCGUGAUACAGCGAUGCAGCGUGUAUGAAGAAGGCACGCGGGUUGUAUGGUUGUUACCGCGGGGAGGAAGGGAGUAAAGUUAAUACCUUUGCUAAAUGACGUUACCCGAAGAAGAAGCACCGGCUAACUACGUG